AUACGGAGGAUCCAAGCGUUAUCCGGAUUUAUUGGGUUUAAAGGGUGCGUAGGCGGACUGUCAAGUCAGCGGUGAAAGUUUGCGGCUUAACCGUAAAAUUGCCGUUGAAACUGGCAGUCUUGAGUGUAGAUGAGGUGGGUGGAAUUCGUAGUGUAGCGGUGAAAUGCUUAGAUAUUACGAAGAACUCCGAUUGCGUAGGCAGCUCACUGGGCUACAACUGACGCUGAGGCACGAAGGUGCGGGGAUCAAACAGGAUUAGAUACCCUGGUAGUCCGCACAGUAAACGAUGAAUACUAGUUGUUUGCGAUACACAGCAAGUGACACAGCGAAAGCGUUAAGUAUUCCACCUGGGGAGUACGCCGGCAACGGUGAA
rnacentral:rRNA from 1 species